rnacentral:rRNA from 1 species
AUUGAACGCUGGCGGCAUGCUUUACACAUGCAAGUCGAACGGUAGCACGGACUUCGGUCUGGUGGCGAGUGGCGAACGGGUGAGUAAUACAUCGGAACGUACCCAGUAAUGGGGGAUAACUAUCCGAAAGGAUAGCUAAUACCGCAUACGCCCUACGGGGGAAAGAGGGGGAUCGCAAGACCUCUUGUUAUUGGAGCGGCCGAUGGCUGAUUAGCUAGUUGGUGAGGUAAAGGCUCACCAAGGCGACGAUCAGUAGCGGGUCUUAGAGGACGACCCGCCACACUGGAACAUGGACACGGUCCAGGCUCCGACGGGAGGCAGCAGUGGGGAAUCUUGGACAAUGGGCGCAAGCCUGAUCCAGCAAUGCCGCGUGCGUGAAGAAGGCCUUCGGGUUGUAAAGCGCUUUUGUCAGGGAGCAAAUCCUGGUGGCUAAUACCCACCGGGGAUGAGAGUACCUGAAGAAUAAGGACCGGCUAACUACGUGCCAGCAGCCGCCGUAAUAC